rnacentral:rRNA from 1 species
AAAAUAUUUUCUGCUCGGUGAUUUUAAACAGCCGCGGCAUUUUGACCGUGCAAAGGUAGCAUAAUCAUUUGCCUUAUAAUUGAGGGCUAGUAUGAAUGGAAGUACAAGAAGGUUACUUUAUUUUAAGAAUAAGUGUAAUUUGCUUUUUUAGUGAAGAAGCUAAAAUUUUAUUAUAGGACAAGAAGACCCUUUUGAGUUUUAUUUUUUUUAUUCUUUUAUUAGUUUAUAUAAAUUUGGUUGGGGCGACCGAGGAAGAUUUAAUCUUCCUUAUUUAAUAAAGAUCCAUAGAUUUUGAUUGACAGAUUAAAUUACCAAAGGGAUAACAGCGUUAUUUUUUUUGAGAGUUCUUAUUGAAAAUAAAGAUUGCGACCUCGAUGUUGACUUAUAAUUUCCUUUUGAUGCAGGUGUUUUAAGGGUGGGUCUGUUCGACCUUUAAAAUUUU